rnacentral:rRNA from 1 species
AUUGAACGCUGGCGGCAGGCCUAACACAUGCAAGUCGAACGAGUGGCGUACGGGUGAGUAAUGUCUGGGAAACUGCCUGAUGGAGGGGGAUAACUACUGGAAACGGUAGCUAAUACCGCAUACCAUCAGAUGUGCCCAGAUGGGAUUAGCUUGUUGGUGGGGUAACGGCGCACCAAGGCGACGAUCACUAGCUGGUCUGAGAGGAUGACCAGCCACAAUGGAACUGAGACACGGUCCAUACUCCUACGGGAGGCAGCAGUGGGGAAUAUUGGACAAUGGGCGAAAGCCUGAUGCAGCCAUGCCGCGGGUAUGAAGAAGGCCUUCGGGUUGUAAAGUACUUGCAGCGGGGAGGCGUUACCCGCAGAAUAAGCACCGGCUAACUCCGUGCCAGCAGCCGCGGUAAUUC